rnacentral:misc_RNA from 1 species
GCCGGAUCUGAGCGAACGUCUCAGCCGGUUAGCUCAUGGGUGGAACAUUGACAUUGGUGCGGAGCCGAACGGCUCGAACUCAGUACGCCUCCUCGGAGGAAGGAACGGUUCGGAUCACUAGGCGCCGCACAUGCACGCUGUUGGGUCCUGAGGGACCGGGCCUCAUCGAAUGAUGAGAACUGGACCUCUGGACCUUUUCUUGUCGGCAUCACUUGCCGGACGGAGAAGGUACCGCCCGUACUUUGAGAACUACACAGUGGACGCGAGCAUCUUAGAUUCGAACUUUCGGGUUCGGAUCACAAAAGAUGAUCACAGUACUUAUGUACUGAUUAGAUCAUUGGUCAAUCUGCGUCGAACCUGCUCCGGUAGGUACGACGCCGAUCGAUUCAAACUCAUGUGAU